GAGAUAAAGAGAACACCUCUCUCCUUCCACCUCCACCACACCUCCGCCGCCAAGCUCACAUCGCCGCCGUCCUUGCCAGAUAUCCACAUGCACCACCAUCUCAAAAUUGCCUCUCAUUUCUCUUCAAAACUGUGGUACCAAAUCAUCUAUUAGAAUUCAAAUUCCAUCACCUGGGAUUAGAGACUGACGGCAAAACUUGGAGCUCCAACGAGUUCCUCCACCCUCUCAUGGUAAGACGCAGUCCUUUUUCAUCUCUAUUAGAUUGAUUUGACUAUUUGUUCUUUGAAUCAUAAUCUAAUUCAAAUGUUCCUCUUUUCUGCAAAAACUGCCAUCACGUCGGCAUCGAGGUUUACCUUCGUCGUACCUCCCUCCGUCAAGACCUCCUAAGCAUCAACGACGUCUUUGAUAAUCAGAUUUCUAUAAAGGUGACUUUACAAACCAUUGGGGGACUAUUUGUGGAACUCUAAAGUAAUAACUGCAAGCUUAAGCGUAGCAGCUACCGAUGGGAAGGACAGAUUAAUGCAGAAGCUCCGAUUUGAAUUCGAAGGAUCGAUAAGAAAAAGGUGUUACAAGAGUUGUUCAAUUCUUAGAGCAACAACAACGUAUUUUGGAGCGGGAGCAUACGUUAUGGACUUGGGGAAUUCUGCACGUUAUUCCAAUGUCUUGCAGGUUAGAAUUGAUAUUCUGGAGCUAGGAGCAUCGAUAGAGAGUCAACAUUCAUUUAUUGCCUUUGUGUUUGUCUUCCUCGUCUUUAAUUCUUAUAUCUGUAUCUCCGAGGUUACUUAGAAUAUUAAAUCACCUUUGUACUUGUUAUUUUUACUUGAGUUGUUGUAUUUUGUUAGAUUAGGCCGGUGACAUUUCACCAUCUACCGCAUGUCGUUUGUAAACUCUGUAACUUGUAGAAUUCGUGGAAAUGUUUACAGUUGUUCGUUUCGUUUAU